AAAAGACCGAAACCGAGGCAGCAUGCCAGAACCUGUGCAUCAUCAAAUAAACGCUGCUCGCAAAACAUUUCAAACGCUUUACCAAAUCUCGAAGCUACUAAAUACAAAUCUAGAUCCUACAACGUUAAGUAUAUGCAUACGAUUAUGCGAGAACGGCGUAAAUCCAUAUGCGCUUGCAACAGUUGUUAAAGAAUUACAAAGAGAAGUAAGAGCUAUGGAUAGUAUGAAUCAACUUGAUUCUCCCACGAGCAAGUCUAGUUUAAAUAAGUAAUCGCCAAUUAUGUCUUCUUCAUAAUUUAGAUACUCAAAUGAACUCUGUUAGUCUAUAAUUUUGUACACAUAUUACGAUUAUAUAUUCUCAACAAUGAAAUAUUGAAUUGUUUGUAUUGCUUAUGAGAUUAUUGAUUGUUGCCUAAUAUUAUAUCUUUAGUGAUGUUACUGAUGAAUUGCUAUUAGUUGAAUUUGUCAAUGUCUAAAGCAUACUUUUAACAUUUGUAAUUGUUCUAGCAUAAGGCCAAUAAACAUGUGACUAAUAAGUACUGUUUA